GCCCAAGUAGCUCAGUCGGUAGAGCAAUUCACUCGUAAUGAAUAGGUCAGGAGUUCGAUUCUCCUCUUGGGCU
rnacentral:tRNA from 1 species